GGUGGGAGCAUGUGGUUUCCAUUUUGACGCACGGCGGAGGAACCUUACCUGGGCUCGAAAUGCAGUGGACGGGGGUAGAAAUAUCCCUUCCCCGCAAGGGGCCGCUGUAUAGGUGCUGCAUGGCUGUCGUCAGCUCGUGUCGUGAGAUGUUGGGUUUAGUCCCGCAACGAGCGCAACCCUUAUCCCCAGUUGCCAUCAUUUAGUUGGGCACUCUGGUGAAACCGCCUCGGAUAACGGGGAGGAAGGUGGGGAUGACGUCAAGUCCUCAUGGCCUUUAUGUCCAGGGCUACACACGUGCUACAAUGGCCGGUACAAACCGUCGCAAACCCGCGAGGGGGAGCUAAUCGGAAAAAGCCGUCCUCAGUUCGGAUCGCAGUCUGCAACUCGACUGCGUGAAGCUGGAAUCGCUAGUAAUCGCGGAUCAGAAUGCCGCGGUGAAUACGUUCCCGGGCCUUGUACACACCGCCCGUCACAUCACGAAAGUGGGUUGCACUAGAAGCCGGUGAGCCAACCGCAAGGGGGCAGCCGUCCAAGGUGUAAUUCAUGAUUGGGGUGAAGUCGUAACAAGGUAACC
rnacentral:rRNA from 1 species